AGAGUUUGAUCAUGGCUCAGAUUGAACGCUGGCGGCAGGCCUAACACAUGCAAGUCGAACGGUAACAGAAAGAAGCUUGCUUCUUUGCUGACGAGUGGCGGACGGGUGAGUAAUGUCUGGGAAACUGCCUGAUGGAGGGGGAUAACUACUGGAAACGGUAGCUAAUACCGCAUAACGUCGCAAGACCAAAGAGGGGGACCUUCGGGCCUCUUGCCAUCGGAUGUGCCCAGAUGGGAUUAGCUUGUUGGUGGGGUAACGGCUCACCAAGGCGACGAUCCCUAGCUGGUCUGAGAGGAUGACCAGCCACACUGGAACUGAGACACGGUCCAGACUCCUACGGGAGGCAGCAGUGGGGAAUAUUGCACAAUGGGCGCAAGCCUGAUGCAGCCAUGCCGCGUGUAUGAAGAAGGCCUUCGGGUUGUAAAGUACUUUCAGCGGGGAGGAAGGGAGUAAAGUUAAUACCUUUGCUCAUUGACGUUACCCGCAGAAGAAGCACCGGCUAACUCCGUGCCAGCAGCCGCGGUAAUACGGAGGGUGCAAGCGUUAAUCGGAAUUACUGGGCGUAAAGCGCACGCAGGCGGUUUGUUAAGUCAGAUGUGAAAUCCCCGGGCUUCAACCUGGGAACUGCAUCUGAUACUGGCAAGCUUGAGUCUCGUAGAGGGGGGUAGAAUUCCAGGUGUAGCGGUGAAAUGCGUAGAGAUCUGGAGGAAUACCGGUGGCGAAGGCGGCCCCCUGGACGAAGACUGACGCUCAGGUGCGAAAGCGUGGGGAGCAAACAGGAUUAGAUACCCUGGUAGUCCACGCCGUAAACGAUGUCGACUUGGAGGUUGUGCCCUUGAGGCGUGGCUUCCGGAGCUAACGCGUUAAGUCGACCGCCUGGGGAGUACGGCCGCAAGGUUAAAACUCAAAUGAAUUGACGGGGGCCCGCACAAGCGGUGGAGCAUGUGGUUUAAUUCGAUGCAACGCGAAGAACCUUACCUGGUCUUGACAUCCACGGAAGUUUUCAGAGAUGAGAAUGUGCCUUCGGGAACCGUGAGACAGGUGCUGCAUGGCUGUCGUCAGCUCGUGUUGUGAAAUGUUGGGUUAAGUCCCGCAACGAGCGCAACCCUUAUCCUUUGUUGCCAGCGGUCCGGCCGGGAACUCAAAGGAGACUGCCAGUGAUAAACUGGAGGAAGGUGGGGAUGACGUCAAGUCAUCAUGGCCCUUACGACCAGGGCUACACACGUGCUACAAUGGCGCAUACAAAGAGAAGCGACCUCGCGAGAGCAAGCGGACCUCAUAAAGUGCGUCGUAGUCCGGAUUGGAGUCUGCAACUCGACUCCAUGAAGUCGGAAUCGCUAGUAAUCGUGGAUCAGAAUGCCACGGUGAAUACGUUCCCGGGCCUUGUACACACCGCCCGUCACACCAUGGGAGUGGGUUGCAAAAGAAGUAGGUAGCUUAACCUUCGGGAGGGCGCUUACCACUUUGUGAUUCAUGACUGGGGUGAAGUCGUAACAAGGUAACCGUAGGGGAACCUGCGGUUG
rnacentral:rRNA from 1 species